rnacentral:rRNA from 1 species
CUACGUGCCAGCAGCCGCGGUAAUACGGAAGGUCCAGGCGUUAUCCGGAUUUAUUGGGUUUAAAGGGAGCGUAGGCUGGAGAUUAAGUGUGUUGUGAAAUGUAGACGCUCAACGUCUGAAUUGCAGCGCAUACUGGUUUCCUUGAGUACGCACAACGUUGGCGGAAUUCGUCGUGUAGCGGUGAAAUGCUUAGAUAUGACGAAGAACUCCGAUUGCGAAGGCAGCUGACGGGAGCGCAACUGACGCUUAAGCUCGAAGGUGCGGGUAUCAAACAGGAUUAGAUACCCUGGUAGUCCGCACAGUAAACGAUGGAUGCCCGCUGUUGGUACCUAGUAUCAGCGGCUAAGCGAAAGCAUUAAGCAUCCCACCUGGGGAGUACGCCGGCAACGGUGAAACUCAAAGGAAUUGACGGGGGCCCGCACAAGCGGAGGAACAUGUGGUUUAAUUCGAUGAUACGCGAGGAACCUUACCCGGGCUUGAAUUGCAGAGGAAGGAUUUAGAGAUAAUGACG